AUGUAAAAAUUUGUUUAUUCACUUGCUGUUGGGCAUUUUAAUACUCCAGCUUUGGCUUAUGAUGCAUAAACCAUUAAUUUAUGAAAAAUUAUGUACAAGUCUUUGUGUGGACAUGGAUUUUCAUUUCCUUGAGUAAAUAAAUAAGUAUUAAAUACUGGAUCCUAUGCUAUAUUUAUGUUUAACUUUAUAAUAACUGCCAAAGUAAUUUCCAAAUUGGUUGAUUUAUUAGUCUGUUUUCAUACUGCUAUAAAGAACUUCCUGAAACUGGGUAAU
rnacentral:lncRNA from 10 species